AGUGAACGCUGGCGGCAGGCCUAACACAUGCAAGUCGAACGGCAGCACAGUAAGAGCUUGCUCUUACGGGUGGCGAGUGGCGGACGGGUGAGGAAUACAUCGGAAUCUACUUUUUCGUGGGGGAUAACGUAGGGAAACUUACGCUAAUACCGCAUACGACCUACGUGUGAAAGCAGGGGAUCUUCGGACCUUGCGCGAGUGGAUGAGCCGAUGUCGGAUUCGCUAGUUGGCGGGGUAAAGGCCCACCAAGGCGACGAUCCGUAGCUGGUCUGAGAGGAUGAUCAGCCACACUGGAACUGAGACACGGUCCAGACUCCUACGGGAGGCAGCAGUGGGGAAUAUUGGACAAUGGGCGAAAGCCUGAUCCAGCCAUACCGCGUGGGUGAAGAAGGCCUUCGGGUUGUAAAGCCCUUUUGUUGGGAAAGAAAAGCAGCAGGUUAAUACCCCGCUGUUCUGACGGUACCCAAAGAAUAAGCACCGGCUAACUUCGUG
rnacentral:rRNA from 1 species